rnacentral:rRNA from 1 species
GACGAACGCUGGCGGCGUGCCUAAUACAUGCAAGUAGAACGCUGAAGGAGGAGCUUGCUUCUCUGGAUGAGUUGCGAACGGGUGAGUAACGCGUAGGUAACCUGCCUGGUAGCGGGGGAUAACUAUUGGAAACGAUAGCUAAUACCGCAUAAGAGUAGAUGUUGCAUGACAUUUGCUUAAAAGGUGCAAUUGCAUCACUACCAGAUGGACCUGCGUUGUAUUAGCUAGUUGGUGGGGUAACGGCUCACCAAGGCGACGAUACAUAGCCGACCUGAGAGGGGGAUCGGCCACACUGGGACUGAGACACGGCCCAAACUCCUACGGGAGGCAGCCGUAGGGGAUCUUCGGCAAUGGACGGAAGUCUGACCGAACAACGCCGCGGGGGUGCAGAAGGUUUUCGGAUCGUAAAGCUCUGUUGUAAGGGAAGAACGAGUGUGAGAGUGGAAAGUUCACACUGUGACGGUAUCUUACCAGAAAGGGACGGCUAACUACGUG